CGAAUAAAUGAUUUUGUCACUAUAUGUUUUAGGAAAAACAAACUAUGAACUGAUAAGAGUUAAGACUUAGGUAAGUAAAAACAAAAAAUGGAAAACACUUAUCGCGCUUAUCUUCAUUCCCUCUUCGCGCUUCAGUUUUCGCCAAAACCCUCCCUCUUUGUUUUUCGCACUGUCUUCCAUUGUGCCGUCCUCCAUCGCAAAGCUGCAGAGGUUCUGCUUCCUAGAGGUCUCGACGCAAGCGUUUCUCGUGCACUUUCACUUGGAGUCUGCAAUUCAAUCACCUCGUGCCCUUUCUUCUCGAUGCAUAGGUUCUGUGCUUGGCAUAGAUAAGAAAGGAGUGGAGACAGAGCAUUCUGAUACAAUAAGGGGACGUUGACAUUUCAGUGGAGUGAUUCCCCAAGGCCUCAUUGUUGCUGUUUGCUUCUGCAACAACUUGUUUUCUUUGUUGUUUGGUGCCUCGCUGGCUCUUAGGAUAUUUAGAUUAGGAGCUGUUUGUUUAGCUUAUUAACUGUCUCAUUUUCUGUUUAUCUGCUGUACCAUGGGUUGGAAUACCCCUUGUAUUCCUAUUUAUUCAAUUCAUUGGCAUGUCAAAAAAAAAAUUGUAAAUGAUGCUGCAACUGUUUGGUAAUGAUCAUGGCAUAUUGGUUAGGAAAAGAAUCAUGGCAUUCCUUCCUGCACAAAUGGACCUUUUACUGGGAUGGUCCUCAAUGAGGUAUGACGUACUAGCUAUUUGUUUUAUGUCUAUGUUCCUUGGUAACUUUAGAACUGAUAAAUAAAACCCAUGUUAAAACUUGAGAUUCAUCCUUCACAUCAAUGAAGUAGCUUCAUCCUUCACAUCAAUGAGCCAAAUUGCAGAACUUCCAAGUAUGACUAUAAAAUGAUGGUGUUAUUUGCUAAUUUCUGUAUGAUACAAAAUGGGGUUUUUUUAUUAUUAAAGAAAUAAAUCAUGUAUGUGCUUCGUGCUUUAUAAUUUUAUAUAUGGCAUAAAUUUGAUAAGUGUAGUUUUUGGUGCUAGACAGGGUAAUCAGUUGAACACUCAUUCUCUAAUUGAAAGUUUAUCAACUCACAAGUCACAAGGUGUUAAGUCUAUCUGGGACAUUUACACUAGAUUCUUUGAGAUUAAUGUUAUGUUUCCUCAAUCGUUUCUUUAGUACCACUGCUAUUUAUUUGUGUAUUGAGGAAGAAAUUUUUGUUGCAGGCUCCCGUGUAUUUUGUUUAGGAAGGAAUAUAUCUUUAACAAGGGCCUCAGGUAUGAACAUGAAAGCACAAUUAUUAGCUACUUUCAUUUUUGGCAGAAGACUGGGUAAAGUCUAUCUGGGGCAUUUACACUAGAUUCGUUGAGAUUAAUGUUAUGUUUCCUCAAUCGUUUCUUUAAUACCACUGCUAUUUAUUUGUGUAUUGAGGAAGAAAUUUUGCUGUAGGCUCCCGUGUAUUUUGUUUAGGAAGGAAUAUAUCUUUUACAAGGGCCCCAGGUAUGAACAUGGAAGCACAAUUAUUAGCUACUUUCAUUUUUUGGCAGAAGACUUGACUAGCAUUAGUGCAAAGGCUCAAAGGAAGGCUGCCAGGGAGAUUAGAAUUUCCUGAGCUCAAUGACCGGUAUUCUGUGUAUGCAAGCUAAGAUACAAGCUGGAGCUGCUGGAAUCUUUGUUUCAAAUCACAGAGCUUGCCAACUUGACUAUGUCCUUGCAACUAUUGUGGCUUUGGAUGAGUUGCUUCUGAAGGAGGCAUUUACUUCUCUCAUGUAGCUGGUGAGCACAUAAAUCACUUCUCUUCUUUGAUGUUUAGAAUUGACAAUAUAGUUCAAUGUUUAGUUAAGGUUUUUCUGAAUUUCAUAUUUGUUUAAUUGCUUCUUAAGUUAGAUUGGACCCUACUUUCUCAUGAUUUAACAAGUGUAUUAGUAAGAGAUUAUUUUGUAACUUUUUGUCAGCAUUUUUGUUGAUAUACAUGCUUAGAUUAUUCUUUGAUUCAUGGCUUAAGGGAAGCAUUUUAAUCCUAUUCUAUAUCAUUUUUGUGAUUAUGGAUGUAUAAUGUUUAGGAUGAUGAUUCCAAGUUAGCGUUCUAGGUUUAAUGGCUUCAUCUUGAACUUAUAAAGUAGUCACUGACGGCUGUGCCUGCCAUAUCAUUUUCUUACAUUCUCCAAUAUUGCAGUGGUUUGAACCGCCGCUAAAUACUACUUUUUUUUUAGUGAUUUUUUACCUAUACCGACGGAAGAGAAUUCGUAGGUAAAUCUUAAAGUGUUAUUCUUACGGACGUAUGUCCGUCACUGUACACUAUACCGACAGAUAGAAAACCGUGGGUAUAGCGAAUUAAAAACCACGAAAAUUUUGUCCGUCGGUAUAAGUUUUUCGGGCUAUACCUACGGUUUUUUAUCCUUUACCAACGGUAAGCUGCCGUCACUAUAUGUCAAGUUUUUUGUAGUAGGUAAUAAGCAUAUGAUUGUCGUUAUUAUUUAUUCAUAUAUACACCCUCCGGUCACAUAUAUA